CGAAGGGUGCAAGCGUUACUCGGAAUUACUGGGCGUAAAGCGUGCGUAGGUGGUUGCUUAAGUCUGCUGUGAAAGCCCUGGGCUCAACCUGGGAAUUGCAGUGGAUACUGGGCGACUAGAGUGUGGUAGAGGACAGUGGAAUUUCCGGUGUAGCAGUGAAAUGCGUAGAGAUCGGAAGGAACAUCUGUGGCGAAGGCGACUGUCUGGGCCAACACUGACACUGAGGCACGAAAGCGUGGGGAGCAAACAGGAUU
rnacentral:rRNA from 1 species